UACGUAGGGUGCGAGCGUUGUCCGGAAUUAUUGGGCGUAAAGCGCACGUAGGCGGCUUUGUAAGUUAGAGGUGAAAGCCCGGGGCUCAACUCCGGAACUGCCUUUAAGACUGCAUCGCUUGAAUCAUGGAGAGGUCAGUGGAAUUCCGAGUGUAGAGGUGAAAUUCGUAGAUAUUAGGAAGAACACCAGUGGCGAAGGCGGCUCACUGGUCCGGUAC
rnacentral:rRNA from 1 species